rnacentral:sRNA from 1 species
CCUCUUGUCCCCCAGUGCUGUGGACCAUAACUGUCUGUUUUUCUAUUUAAGCUUCUGGCCAAUAGGACAUGAGCUGGCCUCAUGGCUCCACCCUGAAGCCCUUUCUCCUUACUGUGGGCUGCACACUGCAGGAAGAUUCAGCUGAAGAAAGAUAACUCUUCCACACAAGUGUACAACUACCAACCCUGCGACCACCCAGACCGCCCCUGUGACAGCACCUGCCCCUGCAUCAUGACUCAGAAUUUCUGUGAGAAGUUCUGCCAGUGCAACCCAGACUUGCGAGAAUGUGACCCUGACCUGUGUCUCACCUGUGGGGCUUCAGAGCACUGGGACUGCAAGGUGGUUUCCUGUAAAAACUGCAGCAUCCAGCGUGGCCUUAAGAAGCACCUGCUGCUGGCCCCCUCAGAUGUGGCCGGAUGGGGCACCUUCAUAAAGGAGUCUGUGCAGAAGAACGAAUUCAUUUCUGAAUACUGUGGUGAGCUCAUCUCUCAGGAUGAGGCUGAUCGACGCGGAAAGGUCUAUGACAAAUACAUGUCCAGCUUCCUCUUCAACCUUAAUAAUGAUUUUGUAGUGGAUGCUACUCGGAAAGGAA